GGAAAUAUGGCCCAGCGGAUUAAGGCACCUGUCUUGAAAACCGGCGAAAGGUAACCGUGAGUUCAAAUCUCAAUGUUUCCGCCA
rnacentral:tRNA from 1 species